rnacentral:rRNA from 1 species
CCGCUGAGGAUGGCUUUUCUCGGACUGUAAAUAGGCCGGGAAAUAAGGGGAGGGCAAGUCUGGUGUCAGUCCGCCGCGGUAAUACCAGCUCCUCGAGUGGUCGGGACGAUUAUUGGGCCUAAAGCACCCGUAGCCGGUUCCGUAAGUCCUCUGUUAAAUCCAGCCGCUCAACGGCUGGCGUGCAGAGGAUACUGCUGGACUAGGAGGCGGGAGAGGCGGACGGUACUCCGCGUGUAGGGGUAAAAUCCUUUGAUCCGCGGAAGACCACCAGUGGCGAAGGCGGUCCGCCAGAACGCGCUCGACGGUGAGGGGUGAAAGCUGGGGGAGCGAACCGGAUUAGAUACCCGGGUAGUCCCAGCCGUAAACGAUGCGAGCUAGAUGAUUCGAUCGCAGUUCGCGAUCGAAGUGUCGCAGGGAAGCCGUUAAGCUCGCCGCCUGGGGAGUACGGUCGCAAGGCUGAAUCGUAUGCAGAAUUUUCUGCCUACGCAGUUCACUUAAAGGAUUGGCG